rnacentral:rRNA from 1 species
GGCCCUUGCUUAACUCACAUCCCAACACCUGUGAACUGUAAGGCGCAUGACUAGGUUCGCCCAAGUCAUCGUCUGCCCUUUUUAACAAACAAUUAAUGUAACAAACGUAGUCUUAUUAUAACCUAAUAAAACUUUCAACAACGGAUCUCUUGGCUCUCGCAUCGAUGAAGAACGCAGCGAAAUGCGAUAAGUAAUGUGAAUUGCAGAAUUCAGUGAAUCAUCGAAUCUUUGAACGCACCUUGCGCUCUUUGGUAUUCCGAAGAGCAUGCCUGUUUGAGUGUCAUGAAAAUAUCAACCUUGACUUGGGUUUUGUGCUCUAGUCUCGGCUUGGAAUUGGGUGCUUGCCGCUUUUACGAGCGGCUCACCUUAAAUGUAUUAGCUGGAUCUGUCUUUGAGACUUGGUUUGACUUGGCGUAAUAAGUAUUUCGCUAAGGACAUUCUUCGGAGUGGCCUCGUUUCUAGGACGCUUGUCCGCUUUCCAAUACAAGUUCCACCUUGUGGACAUGACUUUUUAUUAUCUGGCCUCAAAUCAGGUAGGACUACCCGCUGAACUUAAGCAUAUCAAUAAGCGGAGGAAAAGAAACUAACAAGGAUUCCCCUAGUAACGGCGAGUGAAGCGGGAAAAGCUCAAAUUUGAAAUCUGGCAGCCUCAGGUUGCCCGAGUUGUAAUCUAUAGAAACGUUUUCCGCGCCGGCCCAUGUAC